GGUUACAUGGUUGUGAGAAAAGCAGA
rnacentral:piRNA from 1 species